GCCCUGGUGCUGAGGUCCUGCACCCUCCCCUUAGCUUUCACUUUGGCUGCCUUGGCCAAAACAGAGUGAAAAGAGUUAGCAUUCAGGACCUAGGCAAAGUCUGUGAUCUGUUCUAAUGGAGGCUCUGAGGGCAUAGAUAACCCCCAGGCCCAUUUCCAGGUGGUUCUGGGUCAGGCUCCCAUCUCCCCCAGCUCGUCUCUCUCUGGAGAUGCAUUGGGCUUCCUGUCUUUUCUGAGCUGUGCCUGCUGAUACCAACCUUACGGGAACUGGAGUCAGUCCCAGGUCUGGCUUAAAGGUCAUGUCUUUCAACAUGUGUUGCUGCUUCCCAGUGCCUGGGCCUUGUGGGUUCUGCCAGGUAUAACCCACCAUGGAUGUGAGGCUGCCUCUCCCUACCCUCCCCCUUCCAGGCACUACACAGUUAGACAUAAUCUUGUCUCAGUGUCACCGAAAGUGUACCUAUCCUAUUGUACAAAUAGAGAAAUGGAGGUUCAGAGAAGUCAUAACUUGUCAGAAGUUACAGAUGGCAGAGCUGAGAGAGAACUCAAAACGCCUGCCCAACCCCAGCGGCACAUCUUCUGACUAGACUGACUCCCCUGAAGUAAGGCCUAGCCCGGCCCAGGGCCAGUACCCAGUAAAUGAUUGUGCAAUGAAUGAGUUGGUGGGUUAAUUAAGUACACAGUGCCCCCUGGUGUCUGCAAGUGUGAGAAAAGACUUAAGCAGGGCACUGUGUUCUGCCCACUGCCUUUGCUGUGAACAGUGACUGUUAGAAGGCAGGCUGGAGAGUCAGUGCCUGCCUUCUGGAAGCAUCUCAGAUGGGCCUGGGCUUAGGGACCCAAAGCUCCCCUGCAGGGGGCGGGGCCUAACGAGCCCUAGAAAGAAUGCUGGACACAGCUGUCAGCACAGCUUCAGUGCUGUGAUCACGAGUCUUGGUACAUGGGGGUUCACUAGGCAUCAAAGGGAACUGAACCCUCAUUAUAAAAGAGCUUCUGUGGGAAAAGGAGCCUCAAGGGAAUGCACGUUACUGACAUUCCAACUGAACUUAUAAUAACCUUUGUUUGCUUUACAAACACAGUCCCAUGAUUCUUAAAAGAACUCGGCAAAGCAAGAUUUUCUUGCUAUCCCAAUACACAGGUAAGAAUGCUGAGGUGUGGAGAGGGCAGACCUGUGCUUGGUCAGAGGAGUGCUAGAAACCAGGAUCCUGUUGUUCCCCAGACUAAACCACCAACCCAGGGCAAAUGGGACCUCUGGGAACUGGGGCUUAUCAGAGAUGAUGAAAGCAAAUCCAUGGGGUUUAAGUGGCUUCAUUUUAAACAAACAUUUAACUCCCUGGAAGCCUGAGCUUGCUUUCAACAUUGUUUUCAGUAGUGGCUGAAAAGUUAAUUUCCUUUAAAAAGCCUCUCUCCACUGUUCAGAGCAAUGGUAGGUAAACUAGAAAAUCACCCAGAGGAAGCCUGCGUAUCAUAGGCUAAUAGUGGGCCCUCCCAUUCCACUGAAGCUGGUGGCUUUGCAAGGCUGGCUUUUCCUACAGGGGGAUGAAAUGGGAUUUUAUUUCUGGGCUAAGUGCUGGUCCAACCAGGGGCCCAGGGGCAGCAACUGAGGUCUUCAGUCCCUGGAGGGGUUUAGGCAAGGUGGGAUGCUGUCUGCCUGCUCACAGACUCUGCCUAGAAGUUUCAGCACCUCUGGGCCUUCACCAUCAUCAUCUUGGGGCCCUGGCGCCUGCUGGGGGUAGCCUGAGUGUGGGGAUCUCCAGCUCUUGUUUUCAUCCUCAUAAUAACCACUGAGGCCUCCUUUAUCCCUUAUUUUUCUGAUCAUCUCUUCUGCUCACCUUGUCUCCUCACCUCACUCACUCUGUUCAGCCACAACAUACCAGCCAUGCUCCCAGUCUGGGGCCUUUGUGCUGGCAGCUGUCCCUCUGUCUGGAGUAUGUUCCUCCAGAUGCUGCACCCCUCCACUUCAUUUCUCAGAUGCCUCCUUCUCAAGGGGGCUUACAUUUGUCAACCUCUUUUAAGUUGCUUUUCCUUUCUGGCCCUGGUCAGUAGUCCCCAAAUAUCUUUUACCCUGUACUUUCCCCUCUUCCCCAGUACUUAUCUUCUUAUACACUGGCUUGUACACUGUCUUUUCCCCCACUAGAACAUAAGAUCCAUGAGAACAGAAUGUCUUUUUUUUCCUUGGCUGUUUCCCCAGUGUCUGGGCAAUGAAUAAGGAACCCAUAUGUUUGGUCAGGCCCCUCAAGAUAGCUGUUCUCUUGUUCUCUGUAAGUCCCCUACCUGACAGGUACCUGUUUCACCUAAACCGUACACAUAUAGGACUGAUCUUCCUAGAUACUUGCCCCAGGCCCCAGCUGAUGAUUGUUCAUAUCAAAGGGUCCCUGAGUGGCAUGCCCCCCAUUGGUUUCCUUGGUAACUAAUGAGCCCACCUGCCAUGAAUUCCCCUAUAACUGGUCAUGUCCCCUCCCCUCUCCCAAGCAAAGACUGCCACAAUGUCCUGCCUGCUGCAUACAGUGGGGUGUCACUCCAGGACCUUGCUUCAGACAUGUAAGUUUCCUCCACCCAUUAAACCAUUGAUGUCUCUGUUGCUGACUCUGGGCUUUUUCUCAGAAUUAAAGCUGGGCAAGUGCAGGCCUUGUAGGCCUACAGGUGCAGCCCAACACCAGUGAGUAGGCAUCAAGAGCUCCUUUCACAAAGAAGAAACACCUGGUCUCAGGUGGGUCAAGGGCCUUGAUCUCAGCUGGUGGUGGGAGUAGCCAGGGUGAAUAUCGCCCACUACUUCACCAUUCUCCCUGCCUUCCCCUCUUCCCCCAAAUUUUCCCGCUGUACCUGGAACCAGGAGGCUGCAGGAUGACUGAUGACUGAAAGCCUCUACUUUGGUGCCUAAAGGUGGGACAUUAGUGACUAAAGCUAUGAAAUUGAACUCAAGGCGUGUGCCCAACGUUCAAAUCUAGCAGCAGCACGAGUGUGAGUUUCACCUCAGAGCUCAUAUAUAGAUGUGAGUCACACAGCCAGUGACUGGUCUACAAGGCAUCCAGCUCUCACACCUCAGCCAAGCAGUAGUUCUCCGGGCUGAUUCCUGACUGUAAUGGAAAGUCAUCAGUGCUUCACUCUUAACUGGAUGAUCACUAAUAGCUUUCAAUGGAUAAUCUUCAACAGGUUAAGAACAUGUUUAUUCCUAUGAUAAAAGGGCUUUUGCUACUUUUAAUCAGUAAUGAAUUUGGAAUUUUACCAAAACCUAUUUUGGCAUUUUGAUUUUUCUUCUCCCAAUAAAUUAUACUUUCUAAUAUUAAA